rnacentral:rRNA from 1 species
AUGAGUAUGGUGAAAAUAGUGAAACUAAAAACUAUGGUGGAAAACCUCGUAAAGAAUUUGUAUAUAAUCCUGAUAUGGACAAUUUUCAAAACACCAGGAAAAAAGAAUGUGCAAGAGGAUGAUGAAGAUGAUCUUAAUGUUUCUGAAGAGAAGAGACCUUAUUAUUGCACACCUGAUUAUUGGGAUAGUUUCAAGGGUGAUAAAGAAGAUCCUAUCGAAGUUCCUGAGGUAUCUCAUGAGAAAUCCGUUACAUAUUUAGGAACAGAUGUAAUCACAUCACGUGGAUCCGUAGAUUCUAUUGGAGAAGAUGAGGUACCGGAGGAGGUUGUAGGGAAACGGAAGCGGAAGGCUCCUUAUGUGCAAGCUAUACCGACAAAGCGUGCAAAACGUUCAGCAAAAGCAAAACUAUUCGAGAAAUAA